rnacentral:rRNA from 1 species
UGGGGAAUAUUGGACAAUGGGCGAAAGCCUGAUCCAGCCAUGCCGCGUGUGUGAAGAAGGUCUUCGGAUUGUAAAGCACUUUAAGUUGGGAGGAAGGGCAGUAAGUUAAUACCUUGCUGUUUUGACGUUACCAACAGAAUAAGCACCGGCUAACUUCGUGCCAGCAGCCGCGGUAAUACGAAGGGUGCAAGCGUUAAUCGGAAUUACUGGGCGUAAAGCGCGCGUAGGUGGUUUGGUAAGAUGGAUGUGAAAUCCCCGGGCUCAACCUGGGAACUGCAUCCAUAACUGCCUGACUAGAGUACGGUAGAGNGUGGUGGAAUUUCCUGUGUAGCGGUGAAAUGCGUAGAUAUAGGAAGGAACACCAGUGGCGAAGGCGACCACCUGGACUGAUACUGACACUGAGGUGCGAAAGCGUGGGGAGCAAACA